rnacentral:rRNA from 1 species
GGAUUAGAUACCCUGGUAGUCCACGCCGUAAACGAUGUCUACUAGUCGUUGGGAUCCUUGAGAUCUUAGUGACGCAGCUAACGCGGUAAGUAGACCGCCUGGGGAGUACGGUCGCAAGAUUAAAACUCAAAUGAAUUGACGGGGGCCCGCACAAGCGGUGGAGCAUGUGGUUUAAUUCGAAGCAACGCGAAGAACCUUACCAGGUCUUGACAUCCUAGAAACUUAGCAGAGAUGCUUUGGUGCCUUCGGGAAUCUAGUGACAGGUGCUGCAUGGCUGUCGUCAGCUCGUGCCG